CCUACGGGAGGCAGCAGUGGGGAAUCUUUGGCAAUGGAGGCAACUCUGACCCAGCAACGCCGCGUGAAUGAUGAAGGCCUUCGGAUUGUAAAGUUCUGUGAUAGGGGAUGAACACAAUGGCGGUACCCCAAUAGCAAGCCACGGCUAACUACGUGCCAGCAGCCGACGUAAUGCGGAGGUGGCAAGCGUUCUCCGGAAUGACUGGGCGUAAAGUGCGUGUAGGUGGUUUAUAAAGUUGGAGGUGAAAUUCCGGGGCUCCACCUCGGCGCUACCGCCAAAACUAUUAGACUAGAGUGCAGGAGGGGUAAGUGGAAUUCCUAGUGUAGCGGUGGAAUGCGUAGAUAUUAGGAGGAACAUCAGUGGCGAAGGCGACUUACUGGACUGUAACUGACACUGAGGCACGAAAGCGUAGGGAGCAAACAGGAUUAGAUACCCGGGUAGUC
rnacentral:rRNA from 1 species